ACCAAUCCAAUCUAGUCUAUCGAAGGUCACUGUAUGAACUAAUCUAAUUUCUAUCAUUGAUAUAUAGUUUAGUUAGACGGCAAUGUGCCAAUAUUAUGGUUUCUCGGAAUCCAAGACCAUUUAGCGACAUUUAGCAGCUAGUCUAGCGCAUUACAAACAAACAAACAAGUUAGCCUACAUGAACACGAUCUGUGAUUAGGGGCGGGCUUGCGCUAGAUCUAUCCAUUUGACUGGAGUUUAGUUUUGGAGGUAGACUACUGUAAACUGAGGAGGAGAAUAACAGCUAAGCGGUUUGAAAAUUAGAAAAGUCAAGUAGAAUGGCUGCUGUAGAAAAAAGAAGUUUAAGUGAUGACAUUGAAGCAUCACCUGCCAAAGUUCAAAAAUAUGAUGCCACUUCCACAUUGCCAUCAACAAAAUUAAAAGCACGGGCAAAUGAGUUAGGAUUAUCCUUCACUGGCUUAGAAUUUGCCAAAAGAAUGGAUGAUGAUGACCCAUUGCAACAUUUCCGUAACAAGUUCAUCUAUCCUCUAAAUGAGGAUUUGCCUAGCUUUGAUCCAAGUCUCAUUAGGGGAGAUGAUGAAUGUGUGUAUCUCUGUGGCAAUUCACUAGGACUGCAGCCCAAGGAAGCCAAACAAUGUGUCAACAGAGAGCUGGACAAAUGGGGCAAAAUCGGCCUACAUGGUCAUUUUAAAGGGGAAAUGCCUUGGGCAUUCGCUGAUGAAUGCGUUGAUGAACUGUCAGCAAAGGUUGUGGGUGCAAAAAGAGAAGAGGUUGCAAUCAUGAAUGGCUUAACUGUAAAUCUUCAUCUUCUACUUGUCUCAUUUUAUCGUCCCACUGCUAAACGACACAAAGUGCUACUUGAAAGCAGAGCAUUCCCUUCUGACCAUUAUGCCAUUGAAUCACAAAUUCGUUUACAUGGAUAUGACCCUGCAACCAGUAUGGUAUGCCUUGAACCUAGAGAGGGUGAACACAUACUGCGCACAGAAGACAUCUUAGCUCGUAUUGCCUCAGAGGGGGAUGAGAUAGCCUGUGUAUUAUUCAGUGGGAUACAGUACUACACGGGACAAGUGUUUGAUAUGCCUGCUAUUACUAAAGCUGGCCAUGAAAAAGGCUGUUAUGUUGGCUUUGACCUCGCCCAUGCUGUUGGCAACAUAGAGUUACAGCUACAUGACUGGGAUGUUGACUUUGCAUGCUGGUGCACUUACAAGUACCUGAACACAGGGGCAGGUGGUAUAGCAGGGGCAUUUAUUCACAAGAAACAUGCCAAGAAUGACUUCCCAAAGCUGUCAGGCUGGUGGGGUCACAAAAUGGACACACGAUUCAACAUGGACAACAAAAUGGAUUUAGCAAAUGGUGCACAUGGAUACCGUGUUAGUAACCCACCACCCCUUCUCUGUGCUACACUAGAGGCUAGUCUGAAGGUGUUCAAUGAAACUAGUAUGAGCGCUCUACGUGAGAAGUCUAAGCUACUCACAGCAUACCUUGAGAUGCUAUUGGAUGAGCACUACCCCCGUCCAACUCCUGCUAACCCUCACUCCCGCCCCUAUGCGGAGGUCAUCAGCCCCAGGGAUCCUGACCAGAGAGGUUGUCAGCUUUCUAUCAUGUUCUCUGUGUCUUUAAAGAAUGUCUACACCGAAUUGGAGAAAAGAGGCGUUGUGUGUGAUGUUCGUAAGCCAUAUGUGAUACGUAUAGCCCCAGCCCCACUGUACAACUCAUUCAAAGAUGUACACAGAUUUGUGCAGCUACUUGGCGACAGCCUAGUUGCUGCCCAUGUAAAUUCUACCACAGAAGGCGUGUAACAUUUAAAUGUUGUGCAGCUAUUA
rnacentral:misc_RNA from 1 species